AGGUUUCUGCGUAAGCCAGCCCUAUACGUGCACCACGCCUCCAACUACAAUUUCUCCGAAGAUAAAACGGGGGUAUAUGGAUGAUCCGUACGACUUUAGCGCGCUAAUCGUGAGGGACUCAAUAUGUAUGAAAUAUGUAUAAUAUGCAUGCAAUAUAUUAAUUAAUAACUUAGAGAGAAUGCUAUAUAGAGAAAGUUGAAAACCCAAAGGGUGUGCAUUGUUCCCCGUUGUCCACUGAUCAAAGCACACUUCUCUAGAUGUGCCUGUCUUGUCUAGUUUUAAAGUUAUUAAACCAUUCAUGUAUUGUUCCAUUGCACAUUAUACGGAUACAUUCGAACAUUCUAAAAUUAAUUAAAAUUCGUACGUAAAGCAAUCUGGGAAACGGGGUAUCCAACAGUCGCCAUGAGCUAAUGCUAAACCUCCAUGUCAAUGUCAUUACAGCUGAAAUUCUAUUAUAUUCGCUAUUAACACGAUUUGGCACAGAUCACGAAAUCGCAAAAAUAAUCGGUGUGCAUCGUUGUCUGUGUACUGGAUAUCACAAUUCUGUCAUGACAAACGCCCCAUCUUACUUCCUGUAGAAUUUAUUAAAAACAGAAAACUGAAUAUCGAACAUUAUCUCGAGACAGGUGUUUUGAAUCAUGAAGACCGUUAGGAGAUAAAGCGGCAGCGAAAGCUAAUUUUAAUAAAAAUUAUUGAUCAUCCCUUGAUAGCCCAAUUUAAAGACACCCCCUAUAAGUAAAAUGUUACGUUAAUAUACAUGUUUAACCGAAUUAAUAGCAGGAAUUACAUCUUUGUUGCUGUUUUUCCUCUGCCACAGUGGUUUGCCAUCUACUUUAGCCGUGUGCUUGUCCACAUCUACUGAACUCCAAGGGGGAUCAAAGAAUCACUGAUGACCUGAGUGAAAUGAGGUUUUUUGUCUCAGGACUUUUUGUCUACCACAGGAUGACAUACAUAGAACGUCUCAAACAACCUCAACCGGCUACACCAAAAAUGUACCCAGUGACCAGCCAGACUGCCCAGGAGUGUUUGAAACAACCAGCAAGAGCAUGACACACUGAAAAGUCUUUGUUCGCCGAUUAUCUCACUCAUUCUACUGUGAUAGCUCAAAAUGUGGUGGCGGCAAGUAAGCUGCUGAGCAAGCUGGCAGGUAAAUCGUGCACAGUCUACGGAAGAGGGAACCAGUCGUGCUGCCUGUAGCACUGCACGGGACGCUGCCUUUGGAUCAAAUCAACAGUUGGAUGUCCAGUCAGUAUUUGACAGAUUUCUUCAGACCCACCUGGUGACCCUGGAUGUGGACAUGCCAGGCAAGAGUGCCCGUUCACAGACAUCAGGCCAGUUUCAGUGACAGCUAUACGAGUUUGGUUGAAGGCCCAGAUGAAACUCUAUGUGUAGCGUGUCCUCUGUGAGAAUUGUUAUUUAGACGUCGACCGAUAUGGGUUUUUCAAUACCUGAUGCCGAAAUUUAGGAGUCAGGGUCAGGUGAUGCCCGGUAUAUGCUGCUGAUUUUUUAUGCCCGAUAAUUGGACGUUUUCCCCCUCUAUCUGCAUCGUAAUAUAUCACGCUAAUAAUAACAAACCAUACAAAAAAAGUCUCAACUUAGCAUUUAUUGAAUACUAAAACAAUAAUAAAAAUAGCAGGAUCAGAAUCUUUAAGUACACAAUAUAGCGGCAAACUCCUCGUUUUUGAGGAAAGGAACAUUUGUAAACUACAAAAAAAGGAAUGUGUAUGUUAUCCUCAGUUUUAUUCCCACUUCCAGUCCCUGAGUCUUCCUUGCCCCACCCAUCCCUCACAGCCAUCAGAUAGCAAAUACUAAAGCAAAAGAAUUGCAAGGUUAGCAUUUUUAUUAUAGUGCCUUCACCUCUAAUUCAUUCUACAAUUCCAGUAUUCCAUGCACAUUAAAACAAUUACACUCUUAAUACAUUUUGAAAAAAAAAACACUAGUAUUUAAGUGCAUCAUGGUAUGAUGAGUAGUGUACAAGGCCCAAAACCUUUCACUAACAUGUUGUUUAUGUUGUUAGCAAACAGAUAUCUUACAAGCUAAAUUCGCAAUUAGAACCUAGCGAUCGCAUAAAAUAAAAUACCUUUGGCGUAUUACACAGCCUUGUAUGCAAGGACAACGUAAACCCUUAGUGAUUGUGACGUUGUCGACUGAUAAGCCAGUAUAAAGCAUAGAUAUGAUUAAUGAGGAAACUAACUGCGCAUAGUCGUGCACUUUUCAUAGAGACGUCUGACAUAUUGUUACGAUCUCCGCUCUCAAAUGCAAACAAGUUGCACAGAAAGACCAUCGUCAGCAUCAGCUCAAGUGAAUGGUAACCACGCUUUUGAACAAACCGUUUUCUCUGCCAUGCAUUGUUUUUAUCAGCUCUGUGUCUCCUAGGACGGUGCUGUCUGUGAUCGGGGCAGAGUAACACAACUCUCACACAUGCUGCAGUGUUUCAGAGCUGCCUGCUCCACCCCACACACACAGAGUGAAACUGUCCGACACAAGAAAAAAAACAGAAUUGAUAACAUCGGGCUGAUAUGGUAAUAGCUAAAAUUUUAACAAAAUGAUUUUUAACGAUUAAAAAACGUCUGUGAGCCCACCAACAAGCGCACCAAACUAACUCUGUCAGAAUCAAUGAUCCUUAACGAGGGCUCAGUGUCAUUACGCCAGUUCCCGACAGCAUAAUUCGCGUUCUCUUUUAAAGCAACAUUUCAUAGCAAACCAGUUAAAUAGGUCUUUGAAAGAUUAGAAUUUAAGCCUUACCAUUUAUUCCCAGCACUCUUCCAAAACUUCUGGCUGGGGUCCUGCACAAGGCAGCAUGGGUCAUGUGUUCUACAGCGACAGUAACACUGGGCUGCCCGCAGACGUGCCUGUCUGUAAAUCGGUGUACUACACUCGGAUAUGGCAGAUGCCGAUACAUUAAAAAAAAUGCCAAAUAUCGGUCAACCUGUAUUGUUAUUAACACUAAUUAAUGUCAUAUUUACUGAGAAACAAUCUGUACAUGAUUAACAUAAUCUGUUUAACUGACAUAAUUUAAUUUGUUCUUGAUAGCACACUUUGAAAGACAGGAACCCUUUGGAUGAUCAUCUCAGAGUGACAUUUUCUGCAGCAAGGAUUAACUGUACGCUUGCUUGAACUUCAAUUCAGUUUGGUUCUUUAAUCAAAAAGUUUUUGUCGGUCUCGACCUGGAGCCGUGGUAGAGACUGUCAGUGUCGUUGCUAAGAUAGAAUCUGCAUACUUUCUAUUUUGUUUUAAUCCUACCAGCAAACCAAUAGUCAGAAUGUUUUCCCGCGUCGCAAGAUCAGCUGCAAGCAUCGCUCAUAGCUUGCGCACCUUUUCCCAGAACCAUGCCAAGGUAGCAGGUGCGUCCGGGGGCAUCGGCCAGCCCCUGAAGAAGAGUCCCCUG